rnacentral:rRNA from 1 species
UCUCUUCUUCACUUUCAUCUAUUUCUUCUAAUUCAAAAAUCUCCUUUAAGUUCUUUGGACUUAAAUCAAUCUCCGUUUUUCCAAUCCAGCUCUUCAGGGUUUCUGGGUUGAAGUUGCUCAUCAUAAUUUGGACCAUCCUUGCAUACGAAUUGUCAUGGUAUGAAAGGAGUGGUUCCCACCCUUGGUGCUGAACCCAUUUUGUCACUUCGAGAUCAAGCAUCCCUGGCUUGUCUCCUAGUCCAACGAAAUCAUAAACUCUUCCUCUCAACACUUGCCUUCCUUCGAAAUGACUCAUGUAAUGCUCAUAAGAUACAGUGUUUGAGUUGAAGAAUACUUUGUAUACCUUGUUGGAUGGCUCAGGUUUCCUUCUUUUGGCUUGAGCCGAAGCACCUAUCUCUUCUUCUUCCCUUCUUCUUCGCUUGGAGGGUGUAGAGACUUCCACAUUUGGAUUCUUGGUGCGAACCAUAGCUUUCGGAGUGGGUUUUGAAGUCUUGAGGGAUUUUCGGAGGUAAGGAAUGAGAUGGGGUUUCGAUUUGCGAAAUGGAGAGGUGAGGUUUUGGAUCGCCUAAGCUUGGGAGAGGGAAUGGAGCUGUUUGGAGUGGAAAGAAAUGAGCAAGGAGUCGGGUCGAGUGGCUUUUGAGUGCAUGGCUAAGCGGGAAAACGAAACGACUCUUACGUGAAUAGUAUUUUCAGAAGGCUGCUUCGUCUGAAAAUUGGGUUGGCUUCUUCUGAAAAACUGUUAGGCUCGAAGUGGAGGGGUUUUCAGAAGAAUGAGGCUUCUUCUGAAAACAGAAUGCUUCUUCUGAAAAAUUGAAAGUUCGAGACAGAAACAUUUUCAGUCGACUUAAGCUUCUUCUGAAAAUGUGGUGCUUCUUCUGAAAAUGGGAUUUGGUUGGAUUUUGUUGAUAUGUGUGGAAUGUGAUCUUUGAUUCGAAAUUUGCAUAGAUUUAGAGAUAAUUUGGUCUUGAUUAGAGAUGUAAGAACAUUGAUUAAGCAAAUUAAGCAAAUGGAUCAAUGAUUCCAAGUUCUCUUCUUAUUUUAUUAAAUCUGUCUUCAGGUAGAGGCUUUGUGAAAAUGUCAGCUAAUUGAUCAUUGGUUGGCACGAAUUCUAGGCAUACAUUGUGGUUUGACACAUGGUCUCUUAUAAAGUGAUGCCUAAUCUCUAUGUGUUUGGUUCUAGAGUGCAUAACAGGAUUUUUGGUUAGAUUUAUGGCACUUGUGUUAUCACAUCUAAUGGGGGUGUCUUUAUAGUCUAAACCAUAAUCUCUUAAUUGCUGUUUUAUCCAUAGGAUCUGAGCACAACAACUCCCUGCGGCUACAUAUUCAGCCUCAGCAGUUGAUAAUGCUACAGAUGUUUGCUUUCUAGAGUUCCAUGAUAUUAGCAUGCUACCUAAGAAUUGACAUAUACCUGAAGUGCUUUUUCUAUCUACCUUAUAUCCAGCAAAAUCUGCAUCUGAGUAUCCUAUUAAUGUGAAGUUUGUUCCUUUGGGAUACCAUAAGCCUAAGUUUUGGGUGUCUACUAGAUACCUAAGUAUUCUCUUGACUGCUAUAAGAUGUGACUCUUUAGGACAGGCUUGAAAUCUAGCACACAUGCAUACACUAAACAUGAUAUCAGGCCUACUA